GCUGUUGUUUGUUUGUUUGUUUGUUUGUUUUUUGUUUGUUUUGUUGAUUAAAUGGACCAAACAUUUGAAUAAUUGUUUUAUUUGUUUUUAUUCUGAAUGUUUUUGUCUUUCAGACUCGUGCAGACGACAUGUUCUUCACCAGUUUCAAGAACGAACCUCCGAAGGUUUUCCAGCAGGACAUUCCUCCCCUCGACGAGGAUGACGACGACGAGCAGGAGGAGUCCAAUGAGACGGAUCGUCCGGACUUCUGAAGACGCAGAUGAAGCCGUCGCCAUGACGUGAAAAGACUCGGACUCAGAUCUGCAAUAUUUACUCCUCCACUAUAAAAAUGUCCUGAACAAAACCAAAUAAAAGAAAUGUAUUUGUGAAAAGAAAAACAAA